rnacentral:lncRNA from 1 species
CAUAUUUUGGUUGAUUUUUCUGCCCACUCAUCGACCCCAAAGAUCAGCUGAACCCAUCAUUACAGGGUCUGGUGACAUUUGAGAAUGUGGCUGUGUAUUUCUCCCAGGGGGAGUGUGGAGGCUCCUUAGUGUAACCCAGAGGCACCAGUACUGUGAUGUUGUGUCGGAGAACUUUCAGCUCAUUGGCUCGCUGGGUAAGUCCCUUACGCCCUCCCCCAGCAUACUGACCACCUGCUGCCUUUUCCCCUGAGAAGUUCUGUCCAUCCCAAAGCUGGACCACAGGAGCUGCCUUCUUCUCAGUGAUGUCAGCCCUGUAGCUACAAGAAGUCCGC